rnacentral:lncRNA from 1 species
GCUGAAAUGCUGGAAUCUGAGGUACUGGUUCUUUUGGUUUUUCUGGUGGAGGUUGAGGUUUCUCUGGUUCUUUUGGUUUCUCUUUUGGCUUUUCGGGUUCCUUGGGCUUCUCUGGUUCUUUUGGUUUCUCUUUCGGCUUCUCCGGUUCCUUGGGUUUCUCCUUUGGCUUCUCUGGCUCCUUAGGUUUCUCCUUUGGCUUCUCCGGUUCUUUGGGUUUCUCCUUUGGCUUCUCUGGUUCUUUGGGUUUUUCAGGUUCUUUGGGUGGAGGUGGUGGUUUUGGAACUACAAUUUCAAUACCCUUAACUGAUUCACCACCCUUACAGCAAAUCUUUUUCUUGACCUUUUCCGGACUGCAACAUACUACAG